GGGCCCAGGCGGGUGCCGAGCCUGGCUUUGACAUCCGGGUUUCAGGGGUUCGAUUCCCCUUGGGUCCACCA
rnacentral:tRNA from 1 species